AGUGAACGCUGGCGAUAGGCCUAACACAUGCAAGUCGAACGGCAGCACAGUAAGAGCUUGCUCUUACGGGUGGCGAGUGGCGGACGGGUGAGGAAUACAUCGGAAUCUACUUUUUCGUGGGGGAUAACGUAGGGAAACUUACGCUAAUACCGCAUACGACCUACGGGUGAAAGCAGGGGAUCUUCGGACCUUGCGCGAUUGAAUGAGCCGAUGUCGGAUUAGCUAGUUGGCGGGGUAAAGGCCCACCAAGGCGACGAUCCGUAGCUGGUCUGAGAGGAUGAUCAGCCACACUGGAACUGAGACACGGUCCAGACUCCUACAGGAGGCAGCAGUGGGGAAUAUUGGACAAUGGGCGCAAGCCUGAUCCAGCCAUACCGCGUGGGUGAAGAAGGCCUUCGGGUUGUAAAGCCCUUUUGUUGGGAAAGAAAAGCAGCAGGUUAAUACCCCGCUGUUCUGACGGUACCCAAAGAAUAAGCACCGGCUAACUUCGUG
rnacentral:rRNA from 1 species